AGUGAACGCUGGCGGUAGGCCUAACACAUGCAAGUCGAACGGCAGCACAGUAAGAGCUUGCUCUUACGGGUGGCGAGUGGCGGACGGGUGAGGAAUACAUCGGAAUCUACUUUUUCGUGGGGGAUAACGUAGGGAAACUUACGCUAAUACCGCAUACGACCUACGGGUGAAAGCAGGGGAUCUUCGGACCUUGCGCGAGUGAAUGAGCCGAUGUCGGAUUAGCUAGUUGGCGGGGUAAAGGCCCACCAAGGCGACGAUGCGUAGCUGGUCUGAGAGGAUGGUCAGCCACACUGGAACUGAGACACGGUCCAGACUCCUACGGGAGGCAGCAGUGGGGAAGAUUGGACAAUGGGCGCAAGCCUGAUCCAGCCAUACCGCGUGGGUGAAGAAGGCCUUCGGGUUGUAAAGCCCUUUUGUUGGGAAAGAAAAGCAGCAGGUUAAUACCCCGCUGUUCUGACGGUACCCAAAUAAUAAGCACCGGCUAACUUCGUG
rnacentral:rRNA from 1 species